UACGUAGGGGGCAAGCGUUUGUCCGGAUUUAUUGGGCGUAAAGAGCGUGUAGGCGGCCUGACAGGUCUGCUGUGAAAACUCGAGGCUCAACCUCGAGAUGUCAUCGGAAACCAUCUGGCUAGAGUCCGGAAGAGGAGAGUGGAAUUCCUGGUGUAGCGGUGAAAUGCGCAGAUAAUCAGGAAGAACACCAAUGGCGAAAGCAGCUCUCUGGGACGGUACUGGACGCUGAGACGCGAAAGCGUGGGGAGCGAACAGG
rnacentral:rRNA from 1 species